GAUGAAUAACGUAGCGAAAUGCGAUACGUAAUGUGAAUUGCAGAAUUCAGUGAAUCAUCGAAUCUUUGAACGCAUAUUGCGCUCUCUGGUAUUCCGGAGAGCAUGCUUGUUUGAGUAUCAGUAAACACCUCAACUCCCUUUUCUUUUUUGAAAUGGGAGCUGGACUUGAGUGAUCCCAACACUUUUCUCACUGGAAAGUGGCGGGUCACUUGAAAUGCAGGUGCAGCUGGACUUUUCUCUGAGCUAUAAGCAUAUCUAUUUAGUCUGCCUAAAAAACAGAUUAUUACCUUUGCUGCAGCUAACAUAAAGGAGAUGAGUUCUUGUGCUGACUGAUGCAGGAUUCACAGAGACAGCUUUGCGGCUGACUUUGUAAACUCGAUCUCAAAUCAAGUAAGACUACCCGCUGAACUUAAGCAUAUCAAUAAGCGGAGGA
rnacentral:misc_RNA from 1 species